rnacentral:rRNA from 1 species
AGUGAACGCUGGCGGUAGGCCUAACACAUGCAAGUCGAACGGCAGCACAGUAAGAGCUUGCUCUUACGGGUGGCGAGUGGCGGACGGGUGAGGAAUACAUCGGAAUCUACUUUUUCGUGGGGGAUAACGUAGGGAAACUUACGCUAAUACCGCAUACGACCUACGGGUGAAAGCAGGGGAUCUUCGGACCUUGCGCGAUUGAAUGAGCCGAUGUCGGAUUAGCUAGUUGGCGGGGUAAAGGCCCACCAAGGCGACGAUCCGUAGCUGGUCUGAGAGGAUGAUCAGCCACCCUGGAACUGAGACACGGUCCAGACUCCUAAGGGAGGCAGCAGUGGGGAAUAUUGGGCAAUGGGCGCAAGCCUGAUCCAGCCAUACCGCGUGGGUGAAGAAGGCCUUCGGGUUGUAAAGCCCUUUUGUUGGGAAAGAAAAGCAGCAGGUUAAUACCCCGCUGUUCUGACGGUACCCAAAGAAUAAGCACCGGCUAACUUCGUG